rnacentral:rRNA from 1 species
AUACGGAGGAUGCGAGCGUUAUCCGGAUUUAUUGGGUUUAAAGGGAGCGUAGGCGGGAGCUUAAGUCAGCGGUUAAAUGGUGCGGCUCAACCGUGCCCUGCCGUUGAAACUGGGUUUCUUGAGAGUGCAAAAGGCGGAUGGAAUUCAUGGUGUAGCGGUGAAAUGCUUAGAUAUCAUGAAGAACUCCGAUUGCGAAGGCAGUCCGCUGGGGCACGUCUGACGCUGAUGCUCGAAGGUGCGGGAAUCAAACAGGAUUAGAUACCCUGGUAGUCCGCACGGUAAACGAUGAUUACCCGCUGUCGGCGGUAGACAGUCUGCGGCCAAGCGAAAGCGAUAAGUAAUCCACCUGGGGAGUACGCCGGCAACGGUGAAACUCAAAGGAAUUGACGGGG